UGCCGCGUGAAUGAUGAAGGCCUUCGGGUUGUAAAGUUCUUUUGACGGGGAAGAUGACGACUGUACCCGUAGAAUAAGCACCGGCUAACUUCGUGC
rnacentral:rRNA from 1 species